UACAGGGGGCGCGAGCGUUGCUCGGAAUCACUGGGCGUAAAGCGAACGCAGGCGGACUGUUAAGUCGGGUGUGAAAGCCCGGGGCUCAACCCCCGGAAUUGCAUUCGAAACUGGCAGUCUUGAGUACGGGAGGAGGGGAGUGGAAUUCCUGGUGUAGCGGUGAAAUGCGCAGAUAUCAGGAGGAACACCAAUUGCGAAGGCAGCUCGCUGGGACGUUACUGACGCUGAGACGCGAAAGCGUGGGGAGCAAACAGG
rnacentral:rRNA from 1 species